rnacentral:rRNA from 1 species
UACGUAGGGUGCGAGCGUUAAUCGGAAUUACUGGGCGUAAAGCGUGCACAGGCGGUUUUGUAAGCCAGAUGUGAAAUCCCCGGGCUCAACCUGGGAAUGGCAUUUGGGACUGCAAGGCUUGAGUGCGGCAGAGGAGACUGGAAUUCCUGGUGUAGCAGUGAAAUGCGUAGAUAUCAGGAGGAAUACCGAUGGCGAAGGCAGGUCUCUGGGCUGACACUGACGCUCAUGCACGGAAGCGUGGGGAGCAAACAGG